GAUGAGGUGGCCGAGUGGUUAAGGCGAUGGACUGCUAAUCCAUUGUCCCUGCACGCGUGGGUUCGAAUCCCAUCCUCGUCG
rnacentral:tRNA from 2 species